UACGUAGGUGGCAAGCGUUGUCCGGAUUUACUGGGCGUAAAGGAUGCGUAGGCGGACAUUUUAAGUCAGAUGUGAAAUACCCGAGCUUAACUUGGGUGCUGCAUUUGAAACUGGGUGUCUAGAGUGCAGGAGAGGUAAGUGGAAUUCCUAGUGUAGCGGUGAAAUGCGUAGAGAUUAGGAAGAACACCAGUGGCGAAAGGCGACUUACUGGACUGUAACUGACGCUGAGGAGCGAAAGCAUGGGGAGCGAACAGG
rnacentral:rRNA from 1 species